ACAUCAUGCAGAUAGCUCAGAAGAAGAAGUAAGUUUUUUUUUUUAAUUACAAAAGUAAAUAUAUAAUAUAAUAUUUGUUGCUGCCUUGUUCUAUAUAAAUGUUUCUAACAUGCAGGUAACAUUUAUAUAUGUAUUAGUUUGAAUAAAUCAUUUUAAUAAAGUUACAUUAUAGGCAGGAAUGUUUGACUGGAAAUAUAAACGAUGUUGUACAUAAUGCAGAUAGCUUAGGCAAAAAAGAGAUUGGUGAAAUGGAGAAUGAGACUAACUAGGGUGAAAAAAAAUGAAUAUCAAUAUGUGAAUGGUACUUUGUUUAACAUCUACCUGUUUCUACAGAUACAGUACAGACGCAUUUAUAAAUGGGCUUGAUGUUUUUUUGAAUUAAAUAUGUUGUAUUGA
rnacentral:lncRNA from 1 species